rnacentral:rRNA from 1 species
GACGGGGGGGGCAAGUGUUCUUCGGAAUGACUGGGCGUAAAGGGCACGUAGGCGGUGAAUCGGGUUGAAAGUGAAAGUCGCCAAAAAGUGGCGGAAUGCUCUCGAAACCAAUUCACUUGAGUGAGACAGAGGAGAGUGGAAUUUCGUGUGUAGGGGUGAAAUGCGUAGAGAUCGGGAAGAACACCCGUGGCGAAGGCGGCCGGCUGGGCCGGAUCCGACGCUGAGGCGCGAAAGCGUGGGGAGCAAACAGG